rnacentral:rRNA from 1 species
AUACGUAGGGGGCGAGCGUUGUCCGGAAUGAUUGGGCGUAAAGGGCGCGUAGGCGGCCCGGUAAGUCUGGAGUGAAAGUCCUGUUUUUAAGAUGGGAAUUGCUUUGGAUACUGUCGGGCUUGAGUGCAGGAGAGGUAAGUGGAAUUCCCAGUGUAGCGGUGAAAUGCGUAGAGAUUGGGAGGAACACCAGUGGCGAAGGCGACUUACUGGACUGUAACUGACGCUGAGGCGCGAAAGUGUGGGGAGCAAACAGGAUUAGAUACCCUGGUAGUCCACACUGUAAACGAUGAAUGCUAGGUGUAGGGGGUAUCGACCCCUUUUGUGCCGGAGUCAACACAAUAAGCAUUCCGCCUGGGGAGUACGGCCGCAAGGUUGAAACUCAAAGGAAUUGGCGGGG